AGAGUUUGAUCCUGGCUCAGAAUCAACGCUGGCGGCGUGCCUCAGACAUGCAAGUCGAACGAUUAAAGCUCUCUUCGGAGAGUGCAUAGAGUGGCGCACGGGUGAGUAACACGUAAGUAAUCUACCUUCGAGUGGGGAAUAACAUCGGGAAACCGAUGCUAAUACCGCAUAAUGCAGCGGCAUCGCAAGAUGACAGUUGUUAAAGAUUUAUCGCUUGAAGAGGAGCUUGCGGCAGAUUAGCUAGUUGGUAAGGUAAUGGCUUACCAAGGCUACGAUCUGUAACCGGUCUAAGAGGACGGUCGGUCACACUGACACUGAACAACGGGUCAGACUCCUACGGGAGGCAGCAGUCGGGAAUUUUGGGCAAUGGGCGAAAGCCUGACCCAGCAACGCCGCGUGAAGGAUGAAGUAUUUCGGUAUGUAAACUUCGAAAGAAUGGGAAGAAUAAAUGACGGUACCAUUUAUAAGGUCCGGCUAACUACGUGCCAGCAGCCGCGGUAAUACGUAGGGACCAAGCGUUGUUCGGAUUUACUGGGCGUAAAGGGCG
rnacentral:rRNA from 1 species